rnacentral:rRNA from 1 species
UACGGAGGAUCCAAGCGUUAUCCGGAUUUAUUGGGUUUAAAGGGUGCGUAGGCGGCCUGGUAAGUCAGGGGUGAAAGACGGUAGCUUAACUAUCGCAGUGCCCUUGAUACUGAUGGGCUUGAAUGAACUAGAGGUAGGCGGAAUGUGACAAGUAGCGGUGAAAUGCAUAGAUAUGUCACAGAACACCAAUUGCGAAGGCAGCUUACUAUGGUUUUAUUGACACUGAGGCACGAAAGCGUGGGGAUCAAACAGG